rnacentral:rRNA from 1 species
UACGGAGGGAGCUAGCGUUAUUCGGAAUUACUGGGCGUAAAGCGCAUGUAGGCGGCAGCGCAAGUCGGGCGUGAAAUCCCACGGCUCAACCGUGGAAGUGCACUCGAAACUGCGCAGCUAGAGUCCUGGAGAGGAAGGUGGAAUGCUUGGUGUAGAGGUGAAAUUCGUAGAUAUCAAGCGGAACACCGGUGGCGAAGGCGGCCUUCUGGACAGUGACUGACGCUGAGAUGCGAAAGCGUGGGGAGCAAACAGG